rnacentral:rRNA from 1 species
AUUGAACGCUGGCGGCAGGCCUAACACAUGCAAGUCGAACGAGUGGCGGACGGGUGAGUAAUGUCUGGGAAACUGCCUGAUGGAGGGGGAUAACUACUGGAAACGGUAGCUAAUACCGCAUACCAUCAGAUGUGCCCAGAUGGGAUUAGCUAGUUGGUGGGGUAAAGGCCUACCAAGGCGACGAUCCGUAACUGGUCUGAGAGGAUGAUCAGUCACACUGGAACUGAGACACGGUCCAGACUCCUACGGGAGGCAGCAGUGGGGAAUAUUGGACAAUGGGCGAAAGCCUGAUCCAGCCAUGCCGCGUGUGUGAAGAAGGUCUUCGGAUUGUAAAGCACUUUCAGCGGGGAGGCGUUACCCGCAGAAGAAGCACCGGCUAACUCCGUGCCAGCAGCCGCGGUAAUUC